rnacentral:rRNA from 1 species
UACGUAGGGUGCAAGCGUUGUCCAGAAUUAUUGGGCGUAAAGAGCUCGUAGGCGGUCUGUCGCGUCUGCUGUGAAAACUCAGGGCUUAACCCUGAGCUUGCAGUGGGUACGGGCAGACUAGAGUGCGGUAGGGGAGACUGGAAUUCCUGGUGUAGCGGUGAAAUGCGCAGAUAUCAGGAGGAACACCGGUGGCGAAGGCGGGUCUCUGGGCCGUAACUGACGCUGAGGAGCGAAAGCAUGGGGAGCGAACAGG